rnacentral:rRNA from 1 species
UACGAAGGGAGCUAGCGUUUUUCGGAAUUACUGGGCGUAAAGGGUGCGUAGGCGGUUCUUUAAGUGAGAUGUGAAAGCCCCGUGCUUAACCUGGGAACGGCAUUUCAUACUGAAGGGCUAAGUGUGUAAGAGGGGUAAGCGGAAUGGCGAGUGGAGCAGUGAAAUGCGUUGAUAUUCGUUUGAACUCCAGAGGCGAAGGCGGCUUUCUAGCUUAUCACAGACACUAAGGCACUAAAGCGUGGGGAACAAACAGG